UACACAUAUACAUUUAAUAGGUAACAGUGUAAUGGUUUGUUAUCUUUUCAGAUUAUGAUUGUGUAAGCGUUCAUGCAUGGAACGGAGUGUUUGUCUGCCCAGAGUAUAAAGCACCGAUAUACACAGACGAAAAAACGUUGCCACGAAGAACAACUGUAUGUCCAUUAAUAAAACGAGAUUUUUCUGGUACAAGACAGCAAUCAAGCGCACGUUUGGGUCACACGGUGAUGUUUGUCGUAAUCAUCAUUUUCGGUCUAACAAGUAUAAUUAUAUUAGCAAUAAUAGGAAAGACAAAGAAGUUAUGUAAG